rnacentral:rRNA from 1 species
UAGGGAAUCUUCCGCAAUGGACGAAAGUCUGACGGAGCAACGCCGCGUGAGUGAAGAAGGAUUUCGGUUCGUAAAACUCUGUUGUUAGGGAAGAAAAAAUGUAUAGUAACUAUAUACAAAAGAGACGGUACCUAACCAGAAAGCCACGGCUAACUACGUGCCAGCAGCCGCGGUAAUACGUAGGUGGCAAGCGUUGUCCGGAAUUAUUGGGCGUAAAGCGAGCGCAGGCGGUUAGAAAAGUCUGAAGUGAAAGGCAGUGGCUCAACCAUUGUAGGCUUUGGAAACUGUUUAACUUGAGUGCAGAAGGGGAGAGUGGAGUUCCAUGUGUAGCGGUGAAAUGCGUAGAUAUAUGGAGGAACACCGGUGGCGAAAGCGGCUCUCUGGUCUGUAACUGACGCUGAGGCUCGAAAGCGUGGGGAGCGAACAGG